rnacentral:rRNA from 1 species
GAUGAACGCUAGCGGGAGGCUUAACACAUGCAAGUCGAGGGGUAAGUGUAGCAAUACACCAAGACCGGCGGACGGGUGCGUAACGCGUAUGCAACCUGCCUUAUACAGGGGGAUAGCCCGUGGAAACGCGGAUUAACACCCCAUAGGUCGCUGGUGCUGCAUGGCACAGGCGGUAAAACUGAGGUGGUAUAAGAUGGGCAUGCGUCUGAUUAGCUGGUUGGUAGGGUAAUGGCCUACCAAGGCGACGAUCAGUAGGGGUUCUGAGAGGAUAAUCCCCCACACGGGUACUGAGACACGGACCAGACACCUACGGGAGGCAGCAGUGAGGAAUAUUGGUCAAUGGGCGGGAGCCUGAACCAGCCAUUCCGCGUGAAGGAAGAAGGCCUUAUGGGUUGUAAACUUCUUUUCUGUAAGAAGAAUAGCCCCGAUGUAUCGGGGUAUGACGGUAUUAUAGGAAUAAGCAGCGGCUAACUCCGUGCCAGCAGCCGCCGUAACAC